rnacentral:lncRNA from 7 species
AGUGGCUCCUGAAAUGUUUUCCAGAGAGUUUUUAAUGAUAAUAUAAAAUGCAGCUACUUCUCAGAUAAAUAUCCAUCAGAAAUUAAUAACAAAUGCAUCAUGUAGAAGCUCAAUAAGAAGAACCUGCCACCUAUCAUCAUAAAAUGGGAUGCAUUUCAGCAAGAAGACAACAGGAUGUUGACAACAGCAAGAAGACCCAGGAUGUUUCUAAACCUUCGUCAUGUAAUCAUUAAGAUCCACCGAAAAUGCAUAUAUUAUGGGCUGAGCUUCAAAGCUUGGGCUCAUCCAUUCCUUUUCAUGGAAGCACAAGUGUGCUGCAGAAGAUGUCUCUCUCAGAAAACUUUGGCUGUGCUGGAAUAGAGGUGAUCUGUCACACAGCACCCUCUUUGAGGGCUAAGGAUGGUUAACAAGAGAAGAUCCACCCAGUACAGCAGGGCAAGGUGAAUUCUAAACGGUGGUGUGCAGAUUGUUUGCAAGGUGCUCUAUUUAUUACAAUGUGGAAUGCUGUGCAGGAGAGACAGUGAAGGUCUACAAACACUCCAUAAACACCAGGCGAGCUACAGAACGUAAAAUAUUUAUUCUAAGUUAUCUCAAAUAACUGUAAAAUGUCUUGAGUGUUAAUAAAAUGUAUCAGU